rnacentral:lncRNA from 1 species
CAGCAAACCAACAUGACACAUGUACACCUAUGUAUCAAACCUGCACAUUGUGCACAUGUACCCUAGAACUUAAAGUAUAAUAAAAAAAAAAAAAAAAAAAAGAAAGCCAGGCCAUGAGCAGAAGCUUGUUUGACUGGAAAAGGAUGGAAAAUAAGGCAUUAGAUAAGUUAUUGUUUAAUGGCACUGAGCUAAAAUAACCUUAUGAAUUUAUUUUACAGGGCUGGGGAUGUAGUCUUUGGAUUUCGAAAUAUUUAAAGUUCAGAUUGUCAAGCCUUCCUCUCUCCUGAAUAGUACUCAAAAGGGCAUGGUUUUACAAGAUUCAUAUGGUGUCUUUCAUUUCAGUGCCUAUUACUCAUUUCAAUGAUUCAGCCGAGCCAGACAGCAAAUGGACAUGAGGUGUGUGGAGGAAUCUACUGAAAACGGGAUUGAUUGGGUUUUAAGAAAGUAGGACUCAAGGCUGGAUGAGGCAGCAUUCUGAGAAUCUUAAGUUCCCAAGGCAUAAUGUUCAACAUUUACUGUCAAACCCAAUUUCUGGCUAAGCCAUUUAUGCUUUCUGAAUAAGCACUUUAAUUUUCAUUCACAUCUACUCACCUUUAAAAAAAUGGAAGUAUGCACCAAUUUUUAAAGAAAUAGGACCAACCUUGGAAACUUAUAAUUAUGAAUCUUUAUAUUUUUAUGAUAGUUGAUAGUUUACAAAGCUAGUUUCACUUGAUCUUUACAAAAAACCCUAUGGGGUGAUAUUUUUAUUACCCACAUUUUAUUGAUAAGGAAUUAAAUCUCACAAAGGUUUGAAGACUUUCCCAAAAGUGUCACAGGACAACUAAAACUAGUUAACCCCAAGGCCCUGUAUCAGAAUGAUCACCUGCCUUUCCCCCACCAACCCACACUCACCAGGCACAGUGUCCAAGAGGCUCUGCCUCUUUCUCAAUGCCAUCUUUGGGUUGCCUCAUCCUACCUGCAAUGCUUACCUUCAAAGCAGAUGCUGACAAUGUGUUUGGAUUUUGGAGGCUUGAUUAUGAGAUAAAACUGAAUAGUGCUGGACACAUGUUGAGUUUCAGUUUUCUGACCCUUCUCUUUUGAGACUCCAGGUCCAACCCUCAUCUGUACCUUCAGAUUCAUGGACACCACUGAUGAGGUUCUGGCUUGCUUCAUUUUCAUUCAUGACUUUGACUCCCAGACCACACUUUGAUCCUGGUUCUUCCAGCGUUGAUCUAGAAACAUCCUAACCUCUAAGGCACCAUCAAACCAAUUUUGUCCAAGAAGUGUAAAUAUCAUUGCCCACAAUAGAUCUAGCAACAAUUAACAUUUGCUGAGCACUUACCAUGUGCCAAGCAUGGUAAGUGAUGAAUGCUUUAUGUUCAUUAACUCAUUUAAUGCUCAUAGCAACCCUUUGAGAUAGGUACUCAUAAUUGUAUAGAUGAGAAAGCCGAGGUGAGUAACUUGCUGAAGAUCACACAAUAAGUGGGGAAGCCAGGAUUUGUGCCUACAUCAUUUUGACUCUAGAGCGUGGGCUCUUAAUCAUUAGGAAGUACUGGCCUCCAGAAGUCAUCUUACAUCCACCUCCUCACAAUGGAUAAUUGAGGAUGACAAGUGGUUAUAAGCACUUUCUUUGUUGAAAUUUAAGCUUAAAAAUUGAUUUGGAGUUAGACAUCAAUCCAUGACCUGGGGGAAAAUACCUACAAAGAGAGACAAUGGGAAGACUGAGAACCCAUUAAUGAAAAGCAAGCAGUCCACACUAUAUGGCUUGUAGUGUAACAUUUGGACAAACACGUAUUCUGUGGUGAGCUUAGGCAAGAUGCUGCCCACACUGGGAAGGCAGCCAAGAAUUACUGCCACCUCCACCCAAGAGGAUCACCCUACUAAAGGCCACAGAGAGGACCAGCCCCCGUCAGAGACUGCUUGUAAUUUCUCUCACUGUGGGAGCUUCCUAAUGAAUAAACAAACUAAUAAAAGUAUUUCUAUAAUUUUCUAUGUGAUUCAGAUUCAGUGAAGCAGUAAGUCUUUGGUGCUUAAUUAUGCAAGAUAUCAAAAACACUUAUUGUCCCAAAUACUUUGCAGAGCAAUAACAUUAAAAAAUAGUUCUAAGUCCUGUUUCACUGAUCCAGACCUCUCUGUUUUUUCAUGUAUGAUGCAAACUUUUAAAGAAAUGAACAAAAGCCAGUCACUGGAAGCUGCUUGAAUUAAUGCGGAUCAAGAAGAAAAUGGCAACAAUUCACAGUCCCCAAGCCUCAUUUCAACUAUUAGGAUUCUCCCCUUUUAGAUAUUUUACAGAACUGCUAACGAG